GACGAACGCUGGCGGCGUGCUUAACACAUGCAAGUCGAGCGGUAAGGCCCUUCGGGGUACACGAGCGGCGAACGGGUGAGUAACACGUGAGUAAUCUGCCCAUCACUUCGGGAUAACUCCGGGAAACCGGUGCUAAUACCGAAUAUGACCACUUCAGGCAUCUGAUGGUGGUGGAAAGUUCCGGCGGUGAUGGAUGAGCUCGCGGCCUAUCAGCUUGUUGGUGGGGUAGUGGCCUACCAAGGCUUCGACGGGUAGCCGGCCUGAGAGGGUGACCGGCCACACUGGGACUGAGACACGGCCCAGACUCCUACGGGAGGCAGCAGUGGGGAAUAUUGGACAAUGGGCGAAAGCCUGACCCAGCAACGCCGCGUGAGGGAUGACGGCCUUCGGGUUGUAAACCUCUUUCAGCAGGGACGAAGCGCAAGUGACGGUACCUGCAGAAGAAGCACCGGCCAACUACGUG
rnacentral:rRNA from 1 species